rnacentral:lncRNA from 1 species
CAUGGAUUGAAAACUAUACCACCAGGUACUCAAGGAAUUACAAUGAUGUCCAAGAGCAGUGGCCAGUUGUGCUACAGGCUCAGACAAGAGGAGGUUCAUUUGUGGGAACAGUAUGGCCAGCCUAAACCAAGGCAAGAUUUUACUGGAGAGGAUGAAGUAGGAAGAAAAAAGAAAAAAAAGAAAGUGAAGGAGAGAGCAAACAAGGAAGGGAGCCAAGCAUUCGACUAGUUCUUUUUCAUGUGACUAGGACAUGGCACGGACACAUCUGCAUCUGGAGAGAAAACAUCUGGACAUAGCAAACAACCAGGACUAGAGUUUCCAUUCACAGUCCACACCUACCAGGCAUGCCUUCCGCGUUGUCCACCAUCUGAGAACAGUGAGUUCCAAAGGGUCCAUGUCAAAAUCAUUUUGAGUGUUUUGAUAAGAUAUCAG